UACGUAGGGACCUAGCGUUGUCCGGAAUCAUUGGGCGUAAAGCGCGCGUAGGCGGCCCGGUAAGUCCGUUGUAAAAGUCAAAGGCUCAACCUUUGAAAGCCGAUGGAUACUGCCGGGCUAGAGUACGGAAGAGGCGAGUAGAAUUCCUGGUGUAGCGGUGGAAUGCGCAGAUAUCAGGAGGAAUACCCAUAGCGAAGGCAGCUCGCUGGGACGUUACUGACGCUGAGGUGCGAAAGCGUGGGGAGCAAACAGG
rnacentral:rRNA from 1 species